ensembl:rRNA 5S_rRNA 5S ribosomal RNA
GUCUAUGGCCAUACCACCCUGAACGUGCCCGAUAUCAUCUGAUCUCGGAAGCUAAGCAGGGUCAGGCCCCAUUAGUCCUUGGAUGUGAGACCGCAUGGGAAUACGGGGGUGCUGUAGGCU